GGGAGUGUGGCUCAGCGGUAGAGUGCUUGUCUGGCACGUGUGAGGCCCUGAGUUCGAUCCUCAGCACCACA
rnacentral:tRNA from 1 species